GCCUGGAUGGCUCAGUUGGUUAAGUGUCUGACUUUGGCUCAGGUCAUGAUAUGAUGGUUUGUGGGUUUGAGUCCCACAUCAGGCU
rnacentral:tRNA from 1 species